UCAAAAUAAAUAGAUUUUAGGUGGUUACUACUUUAAAAAUAUAUAUACAAAUAUUAUUACUGUGCUUUCUUGGAAACCCUAUCAGCUGCUGAAACCCAGUUCAUAUGAGUCAAACCCGGGCUGAUAAGUGUUCUUUGACUUAUCAAAACUGAGAAUGGCUUGCUGCUUUCAGUUGCCUCUCAAGCGUUUGAUUGUCAAGAAGUUUUACUUUGUUCAGCAAAAUGAAAAUAGUUCAGUUCUUGGGAAUUGUCCUAAUGUGUCUGUUCCUUAACUGCUUUGCCUCGCCUGGUACUCAACCAGAUUUGAGGCCAAUUCCUCGUUUAAUUUAUAGAUUAAAGUCUGGUGAUCAUAAACAGUUUAGAAAGCCUAUUCAAGCUGCUCGUAUUUUAUUGCAUAAAAUGAACCUGGCACAUCUUCAUUUAGAAUUAUUACGGGCAGCUAGCACACCCCAAGGAUUGCUCUUUGAAAUGAACACAAUUGAUCAGGUUGCAGAGAUCUUGGAGAGAUGGAAAUCAUUGGAUUCCUAUUCAACGGGAAGCUUUUAUAAGAAAUAUGAACUAACACAAACUAAACAGCGUUUUACUGAAUAAAAAAAACAUUUGAAAAAUUAUAAAUUGUUCAUUCAAUUCUUUACCUUAUCUAAGAAUAUUUUGUUAUUAAACCUUUUUAUAGAUUUUAGCUUUACAAUUUGUUUCAUUUCUCUCGAUGUAUCAUAUCUUAUCUCUAAAUAAAGGCCACCAAGUUUUCCAAUA